rnacentral:rRNA from 1 species
CCUACGGGAGGCAGCAGUGGGGAAUAUUGGGCAAUGGGCGCAAGCCUGACCCAGCAACGCCGCGUGAAGGAAGAAGGCUUUCGGGUUGUAAACUUCUUUUAAGGGGGAAGAGCAGAAGACGGUACCCCUUGAAUAAGCCACGGCUAACUACGUGCCAGCAGCCGCGGUAAUACGUAGGAUGCGAGCGUUAUCCGGAUUUAUUGGGUUUAAAGGGUGCGUAGGCGGUUUUUUAAGUUAGUGGUUAAACGUCGGGGCUUCACCUUGAUUUGCCAUUAAUACUGUAAGACUCGAGUUCAGACGAGGUAGGCGGAAUAAGUUAAGUAGCGGUGAAAUGCUUAGAUAUAACUUAGAACUCCGAUAGCGAAGGCAGCUUACCAGACUGCGACUGACGCUGAAGCACGAGAGCGUGGGUAGCGAACAGGAUUAGAUACCCCAGUAGUC